GAGACACCCGAGAGGCAGGAGUGAAGGUUAGACCUGGCUGGGAGCAGUGGAAGAAACAAGAGGCAGGUAGAUGCUCUCCGGAAGGUGGAUCUGCCCGUUAGCCUCAGUUCUGCUUUCCUCAGCACUCCUAACACUCCUAGGAGCUAGCUAAGCCUUCUCUCCAAGGCUGUUGUCCUUGAGUCUGGUGCUGGAGAUUGAAGUCCCAGAAGGAAAGACAGGAAGGGAAGAUGGAGAUGAACACACCAUUAGGCUUAAGAAACUUGCUCAAGAUCAAUAGUAAAUAACUGGCAGAGCAGGACUGGAAACCAGACAAAUCAACUCAGGAACUGUGCAUAAGAACCAACAGAUUUGUCUAUGCAAAGGCAAAGAAUGGCUGCGUGGGUCCAGUGGAUUUAUUGUCACCUGGUGCAUCUAUCCACCAGCAGCCCAGUGUUCUGGCCAAUGGCACUGCUCCUCUAAGGCUGGCGUUGCCUCAAGGUGACUCUUUUUGGCAUGUAUUACCUGGAGGAGGUACACAGUUGAGGGCCCGUGCAUCAGAGGAACUGAAGUACUACUCAGAAGAGGAGAGAGUCUGGAGGCACUACCACAGAGAAGGAUACUAAAUUCAACCUUUCUUUUCUUGUGUCAAAAGAAGUACAGAAUUAUUAAAGUAUGGAAUGCAUAAAUGCAAGAAAAAAAAAAGGAAAACAAUCAAAAUGCCCUGAGCCACAGAUAAAUUGUUGACAAGGCGCUGUGGUGUUCAAGCCAAGAUGGCGGCGGAAUUCCAUCUUGUGGAUCUCCUCCUGCUCCCGGUGCAUAAUGAUGGUGGCAGAAAUUUAAAAGAGAACAUUCAAAAAGACAUAUGUAUUUAAUAAGAUCAAUACAAACCACUUUGUGUAACAGAAAUA
rnacentral:lncRNA from 1 species